AUGGAGGACUGCAUAGCCUGGCAUCAUGAAAAGAAUGGGAAUUUUUCUGUGAGAAGCGCAUACAAACUGGCAGUCUCUCUAGAAGGUCAAGUUUCCCAGGGGCCUUCGACGUUAUCAAGUGAGGCACACGAUCGAAGCAUCUGGGAUCUCGUCUGGAAAGCAAAUGUCCCACCCAAGGUUAGAAUUUUUGGUUGGAGAGUAGCCACGAAUACUUUAGCAACAAACAAGAACAAGUUCAAACGAACUCUGGAACUGGACAGCACCUGCAACAUCUGCGGCUGCGAGGAGGAGGAUGAAUUUCAUGCGGUUAUUGAAUGCACCAAGAGCAGAGCCCUAAGAACCGCAAUGAGGAAGGAGUGGAACAUCCCACAUGAAAUAUGGUUUCGGCGCACGGGACCUGAUUGGCUACAGCUGCUACUUGCGUCCAUCCCUGAUGAAUCACGAGUGCGAGUACUCAUGCUCCUCUGGAGGUGUUGGCAUCUGCGCGAUAACUGUAUUCAUGGAGACGGAAAAGAGCCCAUAAUGCAGUCUGUCCUUUUUCUCCUGCGAUACGAGGAGGACAUGCAAAAGCUGCAAGACUUUCCAUUGGCUCCUGAGGUUCGUGGCACGGUAAAACUGAAUUCCGACGCAUCAUUCAUACCUGACAGCGAGAGGUCCUGGAUUGGCGCGGUUGCCAGAGACCACAAUGGCCAGAUUAUUCUGUCAGUGGGCAGGAAGGUAGCAAACUUAAACAAUGUGGAAGAGGCGGAGAUGCAUGCUGCGCUGAUUGGCCUCCAAACGUUGGUGAAAGUGUAUACCGGCCCAGUCGUGUUGGAGAUGGAUUGCAAAGCUAUGAUUGAAGAAAUCAUGGACACGGGGCAGUCGCGGUCCCCCUGCUAUGGCAUUAUUUGCGAUGUCAAGUCAGUAUUGGCGGGAUUCGGAUCACACCAGUGCCGUUUUGCCGGAAGAAAUUGCAACAAGCUGGCUCACGAGCUCGCGGCGACGGCCAGGCGAACAGGCGACUUCCUCAUGAUCGGCAACGUGCCUGCUAGUCUCAUUCCUCUGAUGCGGUCCGAGUGUAAUUCCCACCUUGAGUAA
rnacentral:rRNA from 1 species